rnacentral:rRNA from 1 species
AAUUGACGGGGGCCCGCACAAGCGGAGGAACAUGUGGUUUAAUUCGAUGAUACGCGAGGAACCUUACCCGGGCUUAAAUUGCAGUGGAAUGAUGUGGAAACAUAUCAGUGAGCAAUCACCGCUGUGAAGGUGCUGCAUGGUUGUCGUCAGCUCGUGCCGUGAGGUGUCGGCUUAAGUGCCAUAACGAGCGCAACCCUUAUCUUCAGU